GCGAAAGUUAGGACUAAUACCUUAUGUAUUCGUUUGAUUUCAUGAGAUUACGAAUAAAGAUUUAUCGGUUAUGGAUGGGGAUGCGUCUGAUUAGCUUGUUGGCGGGGUAACGGCUCACCAAGGCAACGAUCAGUAGGGGUUCUGAGAGGAAGGUCCCCCCACAUUGGAACUGAGACACGGUCCAAACUCCUACGGGAGGCAGCAGGC
rnacentral:rRNA from 1 species